GUUGAACGCUGGCGGCAGGCCUAACACAUGCAAGUCGAGCGGUAACACAGGGAGCUUGCUCCCGGGUGACGAGCGGCGGACGGGUGAGUAAUGUCUGGGAAACUGCCUGAUGGAGGGGGAUAACUACUGGAAACGGUAGCUAAUACCGCAUAACGUCGCAAGACCAAAGAGGGGGACCUUCGGGCCUCUUGCCAUCAGAUGUGCCCAGAUGGGAUUAGCUAGUAGGUGGGGUAACGGCUCACCUAGGCGACGAUCCCUAGCUGGUCUGAGAGGAUGACCAGCCACACUGGAACUGAGACACGGUCCAGACUCCUACGGGAGGCAGCAGUGGGGAAUAUUGCACAAUGGGCGCAAGCCUGAUGCAGCCACGCCGCGUGUAUGAAGAAGGCCUUCGGGUUGUAAAGUACUUUCAGCGGGGAGGAAGGUGUUGAGGUUAAUAACCUCAGCAAUUGACGUUACCCGCAGAAGAAGCACCGGCUAACUCCGUGCCAGCAGCCGCAGUAA
rnacentral:rRNA from 1 species